UACGUAGGGCGCGAGCGUUGUCCGGAAUUAUUGGGCGUAAAGAGCUCGUAGGCGGCCUGUUGCGUCCGCUGUGAAAUCCCGGGGCUUAACCCCGGGCGUGCAGUGGAUACGGGCUGGCUGGAGGCAGGCAGGGGAGAACGGAAUUCCCGGUGUAGCGGUGAAAUGCGCAGAUAUCGGGAGGAACACCGAUGGCGAAGGCAAUCCCCUGGGCCUGCACUGACGCUCAUGCACGAAAGCGUGGGGAGCAAACAGG
rnacentral:rRNA from 1 species